AUGGGAUCUCCCUGCUACAGGAAAGUGGAACAAGGAUGGGAAACCAGUAAAGAAUUUAUACCUAGUGGCCCAGUUCCUGGCUACAGACGGACGUGGAAAUGCCAGCCUAUUAAGAAAGCGAGACCUACAGCAGACACACGGCAGGCAGGCAUGUGUUGCACAUGUGAAAAGACACACGUGCGCACACACGCAAGCACACACACACAAGAGUGUGAAGAAGAACAGGAGUUUAAGAGAGUGACAGAAAGCCACACUGAGAGGCUCACUUUCCACAAAGAGAAAUUGUCCAUACCGGCUUUCCGUAGCACCAAUUUUUUUCCCGAAGUGUGCAUUGCUGGAGCCAGGGAGGUUGCUCCUUGACCUUGGCAAACCUGGUUCACCUCUGAGCUGGACCAUCAUGGGCAGAAAGGACAGGGCAGGUACAUAGUUCCAAGGCAGGUACAUUCUUCAAAUCUGGAUUUAAAAAAAGAACAGAAAAAAGUCUAGCCUAAGCCAAGAACUUUGGCUUUGUCAUGUCAAUAGUAUUUAAAGAUGUUAUUUGGCUGAGCUGUGAGCUCUGCAAAUGAAAAACAACUUGGCCCUCUCUUCUCUCCCUUCUCUCCUCUCCAUGUUAGUUUCAGCUCUAUCCUGGGCUCUCCACUGAAGCUUCACCCCUGCAUGGAGCCUAAAGGACGCUUGUCUUGGGAAAACCACGUGUACAUUUGAUACCAGCUUAGUCAGUCCUUUUUCUUUGUGCUGUUUGUGUCUGAGGAAUUUGGAAUGUCUCAGUUAUCCACUGGUCUCCUGAGCAAAAUGGCACUGGGGUAGGGGCAAAGUAGCUUCCUGUCAUUUGAAGGAAGAGGAAAUGGAGGCCCAAAG
rnacentral:lncRNA from 13 species